rnacentral:sRNA from 1 species
AUGGCGAGUAAUGAUGAAACUUCAUUGGAAGAUCUUAUCAGUCAGAUAAAUUCAGAAAAUCAUUACAGGGUUAUUCCAAAGGAAGAAUAUCAAAUGUUACUGAAGUGUAAAGCUGAUAGUGUCAAACAAACUCCUUCUUGUAAUCCCAGGUUACCAUUUGCUUCUGCAGAUGAGGGUGCUAGGCCAAAGUUUAGUCCAAGGGAUCAGACUCCUUUCAGGGUAGACAAAGAUAUUACCCAAGAGGCGGUGGAAACUACUCACAGCAACAUAGGAGGCAAUUCCAACAGCAGAAUCAGUCGCGCAAUCAGCAGACUAAAAGUGGUAACUCUGGUCAGGUUGGAGGUAACAAUUUAAACUAAUAUCAUCUUCUGUUGUGGGGCAAACAGAGGAUGCAAUUAAUGAAAGCCCUAUCAGAACAACAAAUCAACAAAAUACUGAC